AUUGAACGCUGGCGGCAGGCCUAACACAUGCAAGUCGGGCGGGCCGGCGGACGGGUGAGUAAUGCCUAGGAAUCUGCCUGGUAGUGGGGGAUAACGUCCGGAAACGGUAGCUAAUACCCACUACUAUCAGAUGAGCCUCGGUCGGAUUAGCUAGUUGGUGGGGUAAAGGCCUACCAAGGCGACGAUCCGUAACGGGUCUGAGAGGAUGAUCAGGCACACUGGAACUGAGACACGGUCCAGACUCCUACGGGAGGCAGCAGUGGGGAAUAUUGGACAAUGGGCGAAAGCCUGAUCCAGCCAUGCCGCGUGUGUGAAGAAGGUCUUCGGAUUGUAAAGCACUUUAAGUUGGGAGGCGUUACCAACAGAAUAAGCACCGGCUAACUUCGUGCCAGCAGCCGCGGUAAUUC
rnacentral:rRNA from 1 species